rnacentral:lncRNA from 13 species
CUCCACGGCCCCGCCCCCGCCCCGGCGGUGGCCACGCCCCUCAGCCAAUCCUGACGCCCCGCGCUCCCCACCGAGCCAAUAGUGGCGCUGUCCGCGCGCGGCCACCUGACCCCGGGCGCCGUUGUUAUUAGGCGCGGCGAGGCGGGCGGCGCGCGGCAGCAGGGUUGGGCUCUGGCCGGGAGUCGAAGAAGGGAGCGCGGGCGGGGAGCGCGGGCGCGCGCCCGCGUCCGCGCCCGGAGGGUCCGCCGUGGCCGCUCGCUUUCUCGCCUCCCGCCUGGAGCCUCGAUCCUGUUCCGCCCCCUAGGCCCUCUCGCCCGCCCCCCUCGUCGGCCCUCAGGUACCCAGCUUGCAGGAGUGCCAGAGUUAGAGUCCCAAGGUGUUCUUCAUGACCACAUGCUUGAUCCAGGCCUAUCAGGUAUGCUUUGCUUUGCAAAAUGUGUCUGCUUCAUUUUCACAUUAUGUUGGAAGCUUAACAUGAAAGAACAUGGUUGA